CCGCCCUGCACCGCGCGCUCCGUCUCCGCUCCGCACCGCCGCCGUCCUUCCCCGUCCCGCACCGCCGCCGUCCGUCCCCGCCCCGCACUGCCGUCGGCCGUCCCCGCCCGCCCGCAUCGCCGUCGGCCGUCCCCGCCCGGCCCCAUCCUCGCACCGGCCCGGUCGUCCCUGCCCCCUUCCCGGCCCCGUCGUCCACACCCCUUUCCUGCCCCGCA
rnacentral:rRNA from 1 species